AUGUGUCUGUCUGACUGUCUGUCUGUCUGUGUGUGUAUGUUAGUGUUUGUUUGUUCUCUCUGCACACUGACCCUGAUCAAGGCGAAGAGAAUUACAGAAAUCUUGUUUUUACCAGUGUCUCUGAGUGUCUGUACUGUCUCCUGGACUUACAGCUUCAAGCCCCUGGACUGGCAACUAUGUCGGUGGUUGUCCCUUCACUGGAAAACCCCAACUUUACCAUAAUUCAUUCUGUUCCUUGAUGCAGAGAGGGACGGUUAAUCUGUUCCAACAAACCAAAGACACAGUAAGCAGCUUCACCAGAUGUCCUUGCAGUGACUGAGAAACCAAAGGCACAGUGAGAAUCAACUCAUCAUUCUUGUCAAAAAAGAAGCGAAUCUGAAUUCAAGCCUGUUACACCUUCUCGUGAAAUUUUUGCACUUGUCCGUCAUCAGCCGCUACAGGAAAAUAUUUGGACAUUCCCAAAUUAGCUCAUAAAAGCUCUCACUUGCUGACAACAAACGCUUCCAGGAAGUGGCAUGUGUUCAUCCGAAAUGAUUUCUCAGAGGACAAGCACAAAGAAAAUUAAGAGGAGAAGGAAAACCGGAGGCGGAGGCGAAGCCGGACAAGAGCAGAAGAGGAGGUGUGUCGGGAGAAGUGGCUACUGUGAGUGUUUCUCUGGCAGUGUCUUAGCUGGUUGUUGUGAGGAGUGAGAACGAAGCAAUCAGCAAGUAUACUGCCGCAGAAACUCGUCACCAUGCAAAGCCCGUUCAGUCGCAUUUUCAACGCAUGAACCUAGAGAAAGACAGAAACCUUAUCUCAUCAGCCUGUUUCAAGACUGCACUGUAAUACAGUGAUUUCCUCAUAUUUGUACUUCGGUUUCUUGUUUCAUGUGUAUUUGUAGUUUUUUAUUCUUAUAUUAUUUUAUAUUUUAUUCUUAUAUUAUAUGAUAUAUUAUAAACUUAUAUUAUUUUAUAUAGUGUUCUCUCCUUUCUAGAAUAAAUUCAGCUAAAACAUGCUGCUUGAAUUUGCUUUUUGACUACUAAGGCCUGUUGCAAUAAACAGCAGCUGAUUUUAUUAUUAUUAUUAUUAUUGUUAUUAUUAUUAUUAUUAUUAUUAUUAUUAUUAUAGCACCUUUUCACAGUGCCAGCCUUGCCAGAAUGUGUGCUCAGGGUCAUCCUGGCAUGCUGAACAUCUGCAGUUGUUUCUCAGCAUGUCGACACUUAGGUCUUAAUAAAGUACUUGCUAUCUUGCACUUCUCUCCUUUUAAGCUGUGAUUGCAUUAAGUGCCCACUUUACUGAAACAUCACAGAGAAGCCAGACAUCCAUUUGGCUAUGCCUUUAUUCCAAUAUGUUAAGUCUGUUCCAAGUCAGUUUCAACCGAUUACAAUAAUGUGAUUCUUGAAGUAAAACACAGAAACACAAU